ACUCAUACCUGGCAGGGGAGAUACCAUGAUCAUAAAAGUGGUUUUCCCAGGGUAAGGCUCAUCCAUUGCAUUUGGGGUGUGCUGAUCCCUGUGAUUUCCCCAAAUGCGGGAAAGUCAGCUGCCUAAUUUAUGGUAGUGGGUGUCAUGGUUUAGGUUAUUAAGGCUAA
rnacentral:snRNA from 1 species